CCCAAGAUGCUGCCCCUGGCGAUCACUUCCUCGGACAUUGUGAAGAGCGUCCAAUCUUUAGUGAAAAUGGACCAGAGAUAUAUAUAUAUAUAUUUAUAUAUGUAUUUAAA